GGUACCUGGUGGAGGUGGAAGGGUAUUGGUCGCAGAGGAGGAAGCACUACCUUCUGUUGACAUGACUGCUUGGUACCUGCUGACAUCAUAAUGAGAUCACACGGGUGUCCUGUACUGUAUCUCGUGAGUUUGAAGAUGUGGACUAGAAAAAUGGUGUCUGGUGACAUUUCCUUUUCGACGAAAAAAAAAAAAAAGAAAAGAAAAAGAAAAGACAAGCAAGUCCUGAAUCAAAGUCGACAUCGUUCCAUUCUCUCCGUAUCUUGGAAGUCCGGGCUAAAAGGUCAAUCAAGGGCCGAUCACGUGCCUGCCUGUCAUAGAUCAUCCAAGCACCACGCAAAGGUCGCAAGUCUUCGAUUGAAUUCAGCCGACCAUACUAGGAAUGAAGACUGUCGGGUGUCCACUAGACGCAGCACUAACUGCCACCUGCCCACUGCGUACCUCGAUCCUGACGUCAGCAGCUCCCAGACCUUGAGCUCCCAGCCACCCGUGAC
rnacentral:lncRNA from 1 species